rnacentral:rRNA from 1 species
UAAGGAAUAUUGGUCAAUGGAGGCAACUCUGAACCAGCCAUGCCGCGUGCAGGAAGAAGGCCCUAUGGGUCGUAAACUGCUUUUGAACAAGAGAAAACCCCGGUACGUGUACCGGGUUGAUAGUAUUGUUAGAAUAAGCAUCGGCUAACUUCGUGCCAGCAGCCGCGGUAAGACGAAGGAUGCAAGCGUUAUCCGGAUUCAUUGGGUUUAAAGGGUGCGUAGGCGGACUGAUAAGUCAGUGGUGAAAUCUCUCGGCUUAACCGAGAAACUGCCAUUGAUACUGUUAGUCUAGAGUACAGAUGAUGUGGGCGGAAUAUGACAUGUAGUGGUGAAAUACUUAGAUAUGUCAUAGAACACCGAUUGCGAAGGCAGCUCACAAAACUGUAACUGACGCUGAGGCACGAAAGUGCGGGGAUCAAACAGGAUUAGAUACCCAUGUAGUCCCUGAGCGGGCUGGCAAGGCGCAU